AGCGAACGCUGGCGGCAGGCCUAACACAUGCAAGUCGAACGAAGUCUCCGGACUUAGUGGCGGACGGGUGAGUAACACGUGGGAACGUGCCUUUAGGUUCGGAAUAACUCAGGGAAACUUGUGCUAAUACCGAAUGUGCCCUUCGGGGGAAAGAUUUAUCGCCUUUAGAGCGGCCCGCGUCUGAUUAGCUAGUUGGUGAGGUAAAGGCUCACCAAGGCUACGAUCAGUAGCUGGUCUGAGAGGAUGACCAGCUACAUUGGGACUGAGACACGGCCCAAACUCCUACGGGAGGCAGCAGUGGGGAAUCUUGCGCAAUGGGCGAAAGCCUGACGCAGCCAUGCCGCGUGGAUGAUGAAGGUCUUAGGAUUGUAAAAUCCUUUCACCGGUGAAGAUAAUGACUGUAGCCGGAGAAGAAGCCCCGGCUAACUUCGUGCCAGCAGCCGCGGUAAGAC
rnacentral:rRNA from 1 species